CUUUUUUAUUUUGCAAACCUAUAUCAUGCACAAACAAGAUAUAUAAGACAAUAACGGAAAGGGGAAAAGCCAAAAAGCAUAAUAUAAGCACUUUGAGGAAAACUUCUUGUAUAGUCAAAA